rnacentral:lncRNA from 1 species
CUUAUAUUUCUUUCUUUCCAGGCAUGCCAAAUGAUAUGUGCUUCACAUGCAAAAUGGUCGGACACUGGUCCAGAGACUGUCCUUUCAACGUCGGACUCGCGCCCUCUUCCCGAGUCAAACCAAGAGCCCAAGCGGCUAUGCCGGUCGGAUAUCACACUUUCCACUCACGAAAUGCACUCAUCCCCUGGCAAGCUCCACAGCUACCCCGAGCCAUCACAGCAUUCCCCUCGUCUGCCAUCGGACAAGCCUCCACUAGCGCAGCAACCCCAUCCGGAGCCUCAGUUGGCAACCCUACAGCCUAAUACGCAGGCUUCACCACAAGUGUUCAAUCUCUCUCGCAAAUUUAGCGACGUUAUAGAGGUUAUUUCCGGCCAGCAAUUCUGGUCAGAAUUUCCCGCCAGUCUUCAAGCAUAUCGAGAUCGCAUAUUUCAUGAUGUUUUAAAGGCCAAAGCAGAAGGUACCACGCAAUCUUACCUGUAAAAGUGCAGAGUGUUUUUCGCCUGGCUGAGAAAGCAUAACAUUCCACUCCAAUUUCCAGUUACCGAUACAAUUAUUGCAUCCUUUUUGUCUGAUAGAGGUCAAUUCGUCAAUUCAGAUAGCUCCAUAAUAACACUAGCAUCUGCCAUCAAAUGGCUGCAUUCCUUACUCAAUAUUCGUCCGAAUCCCGUGGAUUCGCCAGUAGUGCAACAGGUAUUUACUAGUUUACGGAGAACUUUGCAUCAUCCUCCACAACAGAAAGAACCAUUGUCAAUUCAGCAAGUACAUGAUAUUAUUGAUCAUUUUGGCAAUCAGAAUUGUAGUUUGCUGCAGUUGCGAACCGCUUGUUACGUAUCAUUAAAGUUUUCGCUUCUCUUCAGGCACGACGAGAUGGUACAGUUAAAGGCAAGCCACAUUACUGAGCUGCCUGGUCAACUUAGAUUGCGUAUUCACAUUCCCAGAUCAAAAACAGACGUUUAUCGUGAAGGUAAUUUCACCUUCUUAUCUCAAAUUGAUAGUCAGUAUUGCCCAGCAAAGAUACUCAGACGAUAUUUGACACAAUGUAACAUUCAGAUAGGAGAUGAUGUUUAUAUAUUCACAGCCUUGUCUUUUCUAUCCAGUUCGAAUUCGUAUAGACCAUUACAAAACAAGCCCCUGAGUUAUUCUAGGUGCCGAGAGCUCUUUUUAGAAGCACUAAAGCAAGUUGGCGUAGAAAACCCUAAAAAAUACGGCCUACAUAGCAUGCGUUCAGGAGGGGCCUCUCAUUUGGCAAAUAAGGAUAUAUCUGAAGAGCUUAUCAUGGAGCAUGGGCGAUGGAAAACGCCUCAAGCCAAAACCAGAUACAUUAAACGAGACAUAGAUCGUCGUCUCAGUCUUACAGUUACGUUAAGUAAACAGUAAUUAAAAUUGGAUAACCAAUUUUCUAGGGUCUUCUCCUUAAUUUUGUAUAAACAUCAACUUGAUCUAAUGCGAGUUUUCAUGUAGUAUAAUUAUAUAUGUAUCUUCAGAUACCGGACAAAUAAUCCGAGGAGCUGAGAUUAUUGAUGUGUUAUAUAAAACAUUUCACGCAACUGUAAAGAUGGAAUAUUUUGUUUAGUUUUGAUUAUAGACAGUAGUAGAUUCCGGACAGAUAAUCCGAAGAGCCAAAAGGGCUGAGGCUCCAAGGUGGAGCUGGGAUUAAUUGAUGUAUUAUAUAAAUUUCAUUCUAAAUUGACGAUGUAAUAUAUUUAAGAAAUUGUUUUGUUUUUGGUUAAAAAAAAAAAAAAAAAAAAAAAUAUUCCGGACAGAUAAUCCGAAGAGCCAAAAGGGCUGAGGCUCCAAAGUGGAGCCGAGAUUGUUUUUGAUGUUUAAAUUACAUCGUAUUGUGAAGACGAAAAUGAAAUGAUGAUGCUAUUUUAUGUAACGAUUCGUAUAUUUUGUGACGCGUAAAGAAUAAUUACCACAUGCAAAACACCUGAUAUAUAUGUUUUUUCCCUCAAUAUUUUUCCCUGUAAGUAUUCAGCAACUGACACUAGGCACGCCCCAUGCUUUACAAUAAAAUAUCUGAAUUGA